CCUACGGGAGGCAGCAGUGAGGAAUAUUGGUCAAUGGCCGGAAGGCUGAACCAGCCAUGCCGCGUGAAGGUCAGUGCCCUAUGGGCGUUAAACUUCUUUUGUGCGGGAGCAAUAAUGGUCACGUGUGGCCAGACGAGAGUACCGUACGAAUAAGCAUCGGCUAACUCCGUGCCAGCAGCCGCGGGAAUACGGGGGAUGCAAGCGUUAUCCGGAGUUAUUGGGUUUAAAGGGUGCGUAGGCUGUGAGGUAAGUCAGCGGUGAAAUGCCCCCGCUCAACGGGGUGAAGUGCCAUUGAUACUGGCUGGCUGGAAGGCGGAUGCCGUGGGAGGAAUGUGUGGUGUAGCGGUGAAAUGCAUAGAUAUCACACAGAACACCGAUUGCGAAGGCAUCUCACGAAUCCGCGAUUGACGCUGAUGCACGAAAGCGUGGGUAUCAAACAGGAUUAGAUACCCUUGUAGUC
rnacentral:rRNA from 1 species